rnacentral:rRNA from 1 species
AUUGAACGCUGGCGGCAGGCCUAACACAUGCAAGUCGAGCGGAGCGGCGGACGGGUGAGUAAUGCCUAGGAAUCUGCCUGGUAGUGGGGGAUAACGUCCGGAAACGGGCGCUAAUACCGCAUACUAUCAGAUGAGCCUAGGGCGGAUUAGCUAGUUGGUGGGGUAAAGGCCUACCAAGGCAACGAUCCGUAAGUGGUCUGAGAGGAUGAUCAGUCAAAAUGAGUCUGGAACGCGGUCGGAACUCCUACGAAAGGCAGCAGUAGGGAAUAUUGACCAGGGGGCGAAAUCCUAAUCCAGCAAGGCCGCGUGUGUGAAUGAGUUAUUCGGAUUGUAAAGCACUUUAAGGUGGGGGGCGUUGCCAAAAGAAUGGUCACCGGCAAACUUCGUGCCAGCAGCCGCGGAAAUAC